GACGGGGACCCGCACAAGCGGUGAUGAUGUGGUUUAAUUCGAUGCAACGCGAAAACCUUACCUACCUUUGACAUGUACGGAAUUCGCCAGAGAUGGCUUAGUGCUCGAAAGAGAACCGUAACACAGGUGCUGCAUGGCUGUCGUCAGCUCGUGUCGUGAGAUGUUGGGUUAAGUCCCGCAACGAGCGCAACCCUUGUCAUUAGUUGCUACAUUUAGUUGGGCACUCUAAUGAGACUGCCGGUGACAAACCGGAGGAAGGUGGGGAUGACGUCAAGUCCUCAUGGCCCUUAUAGGUAGGGCUACACACGUCAUACAAUGGAUGGUACAAAGGGUCGCCAACCCGCGAGGGGGAGCCAAUCCCAUAAAACCAUUCGUAGUCCGGAUCGCAGUCUGCAACUCGACUGCGUGAAGUCGGAAUCGCUAGUAAUCGUGGAUCAGAAUGUCACGGUGAAUACGUUCCCGGGUCUU
rnacentral:rRNA from 1 species